CUACCCAACACUACAGCUCCAAUCAAAAGAAGAAAUUGAGUCAGCAGUGGAAUAUAUGGAGCGGAAGAUCCAGACAGCGAUUGGCAAGGCUUCCACAACAACAGUGAGGCAAGCCCCACAUAUGUCAGAGAAUGGAGAAGCGAACAGUGGGAAGACAAACUGGAACAAUUCCACCUUCAACAAAAACAACAAUGGGAUCUAACAAAAGCAAUUAGAUGCCUCAAGGAUCCCAAGCGUGUAAUUCGUACCAACCAAGGACUGAAGUUUGACACCCUGGAGAUUGUAGAAUCCUUCACAGAAGCCUAUGAAGUACAAAACACACUCCCGAUCUAUGAUCUAACAGAAGAAGAAAGAUGAGAAGAGCAACAGACGACACAGUUCAUGCAAGGCUACAGUAGCAGACCAGCCAUCACCCAUCCACUCCUUACCAAACCAACAGAGGAUAAAACCAUCAUCAGGAACCGGAAAGCUAAAUCUGCACCUGGCAUGGAUGGCAUAUCAAAUGCCCACCUAAAGGAACUCCCCUGAAAACCCCUGGUGCUAACGACCAGAAUUUUUAACAGCUGCCUGGUCCUCAACUAUUUCCCACAAAAACGGAAGACAGCACAAAUCAUCCCACUCCUAAAACCUGGGAAGGAUCUCAAACUGGCAACUAGUUACCACCCUAUAUGUCUACUAAAGAGAUCCUAGAAAGAGUGGUGCUCAACUGCAUAGAACCAUCCCUGACAGAGGACAGAACAAUUAGGGCGGAACAGUUUGGGUUCCAGAGUAAACUCUGUGGAAAUGCAAGUUAUGCAAGUAAUAGAGCACAUCUCCAGGCACUCCGACGUCUCGGCCUCCACCACUGCGGCAUUCCUCAACUGGGAUAAGGAUACAACUGAGUAUGGUAUGCAAAAUUUAUCAAGAAGCUGGCAGCCCAGACGACAAUACCCGAUUGCUACAUACACCUCAUCGCAGAAUACUUGUCGAAUCAUAACAGUCACAAUUCAAAGGAAAAGAUCAAGCACCAAAUAACUGGCAGCAAGUAUUCCACAAGAGUCAGUGCUAUCGCUGAUACUAUUCAAUGCGUUCAUGAACAAAUUGCCCAGAGCAAACAAUGUGUAACUAGUGCAGUUUGCAGACGACACAACAUUGUUCACAAGUGGAAGACAACACUUUGGAAAAUUUUGUUGACGAUAUUCUGGUCAUUUACAAAGGAACCGCUGACAGUGUUGAUCGUAUCUAUAACCUAUUCAAUGAUCUUCAUGAGAAAAUAUCUUUCACUAUUGAAUUUGAAAAUGAGACCCGGCAAUUAAACUUACUUGACUUGACGCUUACCACAGAAACAAAGUUUCUUUCAAUAUUCUUCAUCAAGUAACAUAUACUGACCAGAUCAUUCCUGCAUCUUCUACUCAUCCACAAGUGCACAAAAAAGCCUUCCUUUAUUCUGCUGUUCACCGAGCCAUUUCCAUCCUUCUUUCUAAAGAAAAGUUCAACGAUGAAAUCAAUUUACUUAAAACAAUAGCAGUUAAUGAGUAUGAACAGAACGUUUGCCAUAUUACUGAGGAAUACCCCUUAAAAAGAUACGCCGGACCUGUCACUGAGGUUAUAUAUGUGAAACCCUAUGCUUUGGAUUGGCUGUGCAAUCUAGAUAUUGAGCUUUAAAUAUAUGAAUGAGUUUCUAGUCACGCUUGCCAUGCUUUUAACGUGUAGUUUUUUGUCUUGAGUGUUUGUACUUUAUUCUAUUGUGCUAUUGCUUGUUCCCCUCCCCCCACAUGUACUAUUUACACAUUGUUUUGUUUUAUACAUUUCAUUUACAUAGUGUUUUACUUAUAUAAAAUAUUGUCAUAUGCGAAAUAAAUAAAUAACCUAACAUAGUAGAUGACGUCCUUAAAAAGAAAACUGCUUAAAGAAUUACUAUGCAAGGCACUUCUGUUAUCAAGUCUCACUCAAGAAAAUAUUUCUCUAUUCCUUUCGUGGGGCCUCUCUCUUAUCAGAUCCAACCCAUUCUUCGAAAGAAAUACGAUUGCAACAUUGCUUUUUCUACUAAUAACAAUUUGGGGAAAAAAACCCACUUCAUAAUUUACAUUCUAUUCGUUCCCCUAUAGAAAAUUCUGGUGUCUACAAAAUUGUCUGCGAUACUUGCUCCUCUUACUAUACAGGACAAACUGGAUGUGCCUUCACUACCAGAUAUAAAGAACAUUUGCUAAGAAAAAAUGGCACUACCCUCCAAAAUUUGUCUUUUGCUGACCAUCUGUGAUAGCAACAUUUUGCACACCAAAAAGAAAGGGCACAGACUAGAUAUUCCAGAAGAAUUAGAGAUUUUCAAACAUCUUGCUCGAAAGGAUAGCCUCAUCCUUAACGAACAGCUACAGCUACGUAACAAAAAUUUUUUGAACAGUAUAAAGCCAUUAUUCGAUAUGUGACUUCGGGUCUCCUUGUGCAGGUUGCUGAAAUGUUCUUUUCCUUCUAAGGUUGUCCCGUUUUCUAAUUGAAGGGGUUGGAGAGAUAUAGUCAUAAGCCACACUUUUGUCGAAAUUGAGAUAUUCACACUAUGACCCUCUUAACAAUGCCCUCCUCAUCUUUAAUUGAAAAAGUUGUCUUUUCCAACAGGUGGCAGUUGAUGACAGCGCAAUUAUUUACUCGUGUCUUUUUCAGAAGCUACAGUCACAAGCCACAUCAAAAUGCCUGAAUGCUCACGUACACCUGAAGGUGCUUCGCACGUUCUAAGCGUACGUGGCAGUGACAGUAGUGUAAAUGAGGAUUGUGAUCCUUCUGGCAGUGAUGGUAAGGAGUCUGUGUCCAUAAAGCAACAGUACCAGCUCAGAAGAUGGUUCGCUUGAAAUAAAUAGAGCAAAUCAAGUAUCACACCAGAAACGAAGCUCUUCAAGAAAAAGAAAGAGCAAUAUUGAUCAGUGAAAAAUAAAUAAAUAAAUAAAAAUAAAUUAUUAAAGCCAAAUGUCGACGUAUCGCGAGUCAAUAGUAUGUGUCUUCUAAAACCAACAACACUGUCCAGGCAGGAUCUUUGGGAAGUCUCUGUAGUUGUUCAAAUAAGAGCUACAUGAAACUACUUGUAGAAGAAGAGAAUAUUUUCCACUCGUUUUGGGACACAGGAAACUUCAAUUACCCUAAUACUUAUGUAAUGUGUUGUAUGGAAAUGGUACCAAAAAAGCGAAGCUAUCCAAAAAGACUAAAAAGCAAAGAUCAUCUAGAGCCGCGAAAUUUUCAUACAAUGUGAAAGUAAAUGGAAUGGAAGUCACUAUUUGCAAGCAAGCCUCCCUCAGGGUUCAUGGCUUACAGAACCACACAAGAAGAGUGGGAUUUUGCAACAGCAAAUGAAGUUGGUUCGCGCAGUUUCAAAAGAAGAAGGAAGAGGUGUGAACAUGUCAAUUAUCCACAUAAAUUUCAAGACGAAGCUGUGCAAGGUAUCAGAGACUUUCUCAAUGCUAUACCAAAAUAUAACAGUCACUAUACCAGGCAGCAGAGCCCCAACAAAGUAAAUUUUGGAUGUGACCUCACAAUUGCAUCCUUAUUUUGAGACAUACUCUGAAUACUGAGAGGAAAACGGUGUCCCUACUGUAUCACAAAGCAAAUGCAGGGCAGUUUUUGUGUCCGAAUUUAACAUAGGCUUCAAACUGCUGAAAAGCGGCACCUGUUCAACUUGUAGUGCCUUUCUGACAGCAACGAGUAACGCAGAAUUAUGUGCAGAAAGAAUUAUACAAGGGAGCAAACAACACGAGUCGCAUCUAAGAAAGGCUGAUAGCAGGCAAAAUAUGAUCAUUUCUUUAAUUUCUAUGGCUAAAGAGAACGCGAAAGAGUACCACGUAAUGGAAAUGGACAUGCAACAAACGUUUCCUCCGCCAAAACUAACAGUUGGCCCAGCGUUCUAGAAGAGAAAAAUAUGGACGUAGAAGUACGGAAUCCACACUUGUAUCCACAGUUGUGUGUCAAAUAAGGGAUACAUGUUUCUGUGAAGUGAGAAGGGCAGAGGAAGGAGUUCAGAUGAAGCUGGGAGUUGUUAAAUACUUGAAGCUAACUAACACUCAAGACAAACAUCUCCACAUAAUCAGAGAUAGCUGUAAGGGCCAGGCAAAGAAUUGGUCUCUAACUGCCCUGUGGAGGACUCUCGUUGCCACCAAAAGAUUUGAAUCUGUGCAGCAUUAUUUCACCAUCGCAGGUCAUACUGGACUUCCUCGCGAUUGUGAUAUUGGUCGCAUUGAAAUUUAUGUGCUACACAGACAUCUAAUAGUAUUCACACCAGAUGAAUGGGCGGAAGCAGUUCAGUCUGUUAGUCCAAAGAAUUUCAUUGUGACAGAAAUGCACAGACAAGACUUCAGAAGCUUGGGCAAUCUAAAGUCAUUAAUCUCGAUACCCAGUCUAUUCAGAUCUGGAGAUCCCAUUCGUUUUAGUGAAGAGACUCAAUUUAAAUUUGAGUAUAAAGAUCCCUUCACACUAAAUGUGAAGCACUGGUACUCAGAUAUAGGAACCUUCACGUCAGUGGAUCUACGUAGCAAGAGAAAAGGAAGACGUGCUUAACCAGACCUGUUCUAGCUGCCGGUAAAAUAAAGAAAGUUGCU